UGGGAAGGUUAAAGAACGUUCUCUGAAAGCUGUGUACCACUACUUUUAUCGUAUUCCUUCCAUAAGUAGCAUUGAAGCACACAUCUACAAAUAGCGGAGAUCAUUUAAUAUCUGACAGAAAUAAUAUUAUCAAUUGAAGUUUUCAGUCUUGUGUAUUGAUGAGUUGAUUUGAACGUCUGCCAAAGAUGCAGAACUUCCUCAGCCCAUUAGCUGGCGUUUCCAUGGUGACUAGUGAGUAAGAAGCCGUGGGGCCAACACCUUCAAAUUGGGGCUACGGUCUAUGCUGAACAGGUGGAUAGAAAUAGAUACAACACUGUAACUCUCCCUCACUGAUGUGUGCAGAGCAUGACGCUUCCCGUGACUGAUCACACAGUCUCAGUCUGACGUCAAUCCAUUCCAAAUGGUAGCUGUGGUUUUUGUGGCCGGCACCGGCACACACCAGGAAUGAGCUCUGGAAUUUGUUUUUAAGACCCAGUGCAGUCAAAAACGGUGUCAGAGCAGUGAGUUAGGGAGUCAGUGUGUGUGGGGCUCAUUGGAGUGAUUCAACUUGACUGAACUAGCUUGUGUAAUCAGUAAGCUGAGACCCUGACAGUUCCUAAAAGAAGAAGAGGAUCGGGGCCCCCUAGAGCCUGAGGCCCCUAAGUGACCGCUUAUGCUGCUUAUGCCUGAAACCGGCCCUGGGAGCAGAUGAGCAGAGAGAGGAAGGAAGGAUGAGAGCAAAGAGCAGAGUGUUAUAAAACUGAGGCAGGGAGAGGAGGAAGCUGGCACUGACCGUCUUGACAUGACUGCUAACAUGUCAAAGUAAGCUUCAGAAAAAAUUUCCACCUCACAACCCUUCAGAAAGUGUAAGCCUAUUCAUGUAGAACACUGGUGUGUUGAGCUCAGAGCAUAAUGACGUGCUAAUACGGUUUAUUGAGGUUGACCUUUGGAAUCCACAUUUUUGUCAUUUACAGAGCCUUUAGAAAGAAUUCACGUCUUUACUUUUUCUACAUUUUGUUAUGUUAAAGCCUGAAAUAAAAAUGGAUUACAUUUAGAUGUUUUUUGUCACUGGCCUACACACAAUACCCUAUAAUGUCAAAGUAGAAUUAUGUUUUUUUAAAUUUUGACAAAGUAAUUACAAAAUAAAGAUGAAAUAUCUUGAGUAAAUAAGUAUUCAACCCCUUUGUUAUGGCAAGCCUAAAUAAGUUCAGGAGUAAAAAUGUGCUUAACAAGUCACACACAGUUGAAGUCAGAAGUUUACAUACACCUUAGCCAAACACAUUUAAACUCAGCUUUUCACAAUUCCUGACAUUUAAUCCUAGUAAAAAUUCCAUGUCUUAGGUCAGUUAGGAUCACCACUUUAUUUUAAGAAUGUGAAAUGUCAGAAUAAUAGUUGAGAGAAUGAUUUAUUUCAGCUUUUAUUUAUUUCAUCACAUUCUCUGUGGGUCAGAAGUUUACAUACACUCAAUUAGUAUUUGGUAGCAUUGCCUUUAAAUUGUUUAACUUGGGUCAAACGUUUCGGGUAGCCUUCUACAACAAGUUGGGUGAAUUUUGGCCCAUUCCUCCUGACAGAACUGGUGUAAAUGAGUCAGGUUUGUAGGCCUCCUUGCUCGCACACACUUUUUCUAUAGGAUGAGGCCAGGGCCAUGUGAUGGCCACUCCAAUACCUUGACUUUGUUGUCCUUAAG
rnacentral:lncRNA from 1 species